rnacentral:rRNA from 1 species
UACGUAGGGACCAAGCGUUGUUCGGAUUUACUGGGCGUAAAGGGCGCGUAGGCGGCUUGCCAAGUCACUUGUGAAAUCUCUGGGCUUAACCCAGAACGGCCAAGUGAAACUGACAUGCUAGAGUGCAGAAGGGGCAAUCGGAAUUCUUGGUGUAGCGGUGAAAUGCGCAGAUAUCGGGAGGAACACCUAUGGCGAAGGCAGCUCGCUGGACGUUACUGACGCUGAGACGCGAAAGCGUGGGGAG